UAUACUCUCUAACUUUUAAAUGUAACUAACAGAAAAUCAUCAGUAAUCAUGCAACUGUCUAACUGCUCUGGUGAUUUAUCUGUGCAUUCCUCUACCAGAUAGUAUUCAUCAUUCUGUCAGAAGACAAAUCAUUACUAUAAAUAAUAUUAAUAAAUAUUAUGUCUAAUUGUCAGGUAAUCAGGAUAAGUAAUAAUAUAAAUAAUAAUAGGGACAUGUUACAUUAAGAACUUUUCUUCAAAUGCUUCACCAUUUUAUAAGUACAGAGAAAAGGAAAGAUCAUGGGUGCACAAAAUGGUAUAAGACAAAUAAGAAAUGGCUUUUGUCUUCAAGCAGCUAAAAUUCCCUAAGUAGGAAGAUGCAAAUCAUUCACAAGAAUAAAGUAGAUAACACUGAAUUGAUAUAAUUUGUGACAGAGAUUUCAAAAGGCAGAAGAGUGGUUCAGAGAAUGAGAGAAGACACAUGUCAUUACAAUAGCUGCUUCUCUGUCUUGGGCUUAGUGACUUAUCAUUUAGGAUGAGUAGCUGACCCAGUACUUAGACGCUAAGAACAGAUUUUCAUGUCUUCAUUUCAAUAGAAAAUAGAAAAUCGUCACAGUUCUAAUUAAAGCGCUUCAGUUAUUAUAAAAUCAUUUUAGCUGUGAAAAAUUUGGAAUAAAAGUUAGAAAAGGUAAAAUUGUACAUUUUAGUAGUGAAAACUGUAAAUGGUUGUGUGAUCAGCAAAAUAACUUCAUUACCCUCCAAAGAGGAUAGGACUGAAUUUCAAAGCAUCACCUAAUCCCCAGAGACAUGACAUCCCUACAACUCAGGUAACUCACAAACAAAAGAUGAACCUUUGCAAUGAUAUGGUUGAUGACUCUGAUCCAAGGCAUCAAUGAUUGAAAUGGUAAUUUUUGGUCAUUACCCACUGACACACAUUUUGAAUACAUAAUGUAUUAGAAAGAGAUACUUGAGGAUAAUUAUCCAUCUGCUAAGCCAUAAAAUCCCAUCAAGCUUAAUUUAUAAAUAUAGAGUAUGAUUUUGAGUCAGUGCUAAGCUAUUAUAUUCAAUCAUUCUAUUAAUCAAUUUCAGCACUUUUUGCAACAAUUUAUAUGAUUAGUCAAAAUGGCAUUAACACUUCUAUUCCAGUUACAUAGAAUUUGUUACCUUCAAGACACAAGGAAAAAAAGAAAAAGAAACCAGACGUAGAAUUUUUUUUAAAUAGCUGAUUAGGAUGCUGUGCUCUGUGUUCCUUCCAAGAUAAGCAUGUCUUUUCUUUCUUUCAUUAUUGUAUGUAAUUCCAAUACAAUGAAAUUAAGUACACUCAGAGAUAUCCAAAAAAAUCCAUCAGCCCUUUUGUUUUUAGUGAUGCUUUCCACAUCCUGUAAGUCAUAAAUUGACUCAAUCUUGAAUUGAGUCAUAGGACCUAAAAUAUUUCAGCAUUAAGUGUAGCAGAGAAUGCUGUUUCAUCAAUUCCGGAACUAAGAUGCCAUCAAGGAAAGGAGAACUCUAUAUUUUGUAGAGUCAUAUAUGUAUAUUUUGUACAUGGCAGUAAUGCUAGGACUGUAGAUAUAAAAUACAUAAAAAUAUAUGUACAAAGAUGUACGUCUUUACUUUCUAUACACCAAAGUGAGAGUUUGUCUAACUUGAUUUAUGAAUUUGGCUCAAUUUUCAUUAAUCAUGAAUUUUUAUGAUGCAUCAUUAUAACUCAAAACUGAAAAAAAGGACAUGCUUUAAUUUGGUUACAUUUAAACUUUAAUAUUAAACUGCUUUAGUUACUCAACCACAUUUCUCAAAUGUUUAAUCAUUUAAUAUAAGACAUAAAUCAAACUUAUAGUUCAGUGUUUGAGUCAAAUCUAUAAGUCAGUAGUAGAAUGAUUUAGCGGAGGGAAUUUUAGUUUAAUUAAAUCCUUUUUGUUAAUUUGUGUUCCUUAUUUGAUAUCAUCUAUUCUUAAUUUCUGAUUCUCCCACAUUCAGACUAAUUUCAUGAUGAGUGGGGCUUAUGAAUAACAGGUGGGAAAAUAAAGGAUCAAUCUGGGCAAUAGAAAUUAAUUCAUUCACCAUAUAUUUCACAUUUAUUAUGUAUUAGGUGGUAUCCUAAGGGCUAGUGGAUCAAAAGAAAACAGAAACCUAUUCUCCUGGAUCUUAUAACCGAGUAAAAAUAGCACAUUUGAGUAAGCACCUGAAGGAGGUGAGGGGAUGAUACAUACUUCUUGGUACAACUCUACAGUGUCAUAGAAAAGAGAAGGUGUGCCUGAGAAAAUGGAUCUCAGUGUAACAGAUCGAGCUGCAGGGAUUUGUGGCAUAUUGUUCACAGUGUUGAAUGCUUUCUUUGGACUGUAUACUGUGGACUGAAUUGUGCCCCCCCAAAUUCAUAUGCUGAAGCCCUAACCUCCAAUGUGACUGUAUUUGAAGACAGGGUCUUUAGGAGAUGAUUACUGUUAAUGAGGUUGUAAGGAUGGGGCUUUAAUUCUCUAGGAUUAGUGGUUUUGUAAGAAAAUCUCUCAGUCUUUCAGUCUCUUCCUCUUCUUCUCCCUCUUUUCCUCUCUCCCUCUGCCGGCCCUCAGAGGAAAGAGAUAGGAGAACAAAGCUGCUGUCUACAAACCAGGAAAAGGGUCCUCUCCAGAAGGCAAACUUUGCCAGACCUUAACCUGGGACUCCUGGCCUCCCAGAUUGUGAGAAAAUAAAUUUCAGUCUAUGGUAUUUUGUUAUGGCUGCCCAAGCAGACUCGGACACUAUGCAUUAUUAAGUUUGGAUAUGGAGUAAUGGACUUAAAAAAUGAAUUAUUCAGUAUUCAAACAGAAUUUAAAGAAAAUGUAAUAGGAGUUUCUGGGUUUGAAAUGGAGAUAUUUCUCCUACCCUCAUCUCUGGGUGAAGAGAAAACCAAGCCUUUGUUAAGACUUCAGGAUGAUUUCAUGAAGAACUCCAUAAAUUCAUUCCUGCAGAAAAGGCUGAGAAGUGAAUGUAUUUUGCACUUCAAAGAAUAUGCAUACUUUUGCAGCCUGAGUACAGACUGUGGAACUUGAAAAGAAGAAAGGAAGGAAGAAAGGAGGGAAGGACGGAAGAAAGAAAGAAGGAAGGAAGGAAGGAAGGAAGGAAGGAAGGAAGGAAGGAAGGAAGGAAGAAAGAAAGAAAGAAAGAAAGAAAGAAAGAAAGAAAGAAAGAAAGAAAGAAAGAAGGAAAGAAGGAAAGAAGGAAAGAAGGAAAGAAGGAAAGAAGGAAAGAAGGAAGAAGGAAAGAAGGAAGGAAGGAAGGAAGGAAGGAAAGAAGGAAAGAAGGAAAGAAGGAAAGAAGGAAAGAAGGAAAGAAGGAAAGAAGGAAAGAAGGAAAGAAGGAAAGAAGGAAAGAAGGAAGAAAAGAAGGAAAGAAGGAAAGAAGGAAGGAAAGAAGGAAAGAAGGAAAGAAAGAAAGAAAAAGGGUGCAAAUUAGUUGACAUUCCUGACACUGAGAGGUGCUGUCUCUGUCUUGAAUAGAGGCAGGCUCGUUUUUGACCAACAGGCUAUAAAGGAAAUGGUGCUCUCUCACGUCCAAGGCUAAGUCAUAAGGGACCAUGCAGCUUCCUCCUGGAUCAUUUGGUGUGCUCACUCCCCACAUGCUUCCUUCUGAAACACAUCACCUUGGAAACCAGCCACCCUACUGCAGGGAGCCCAAGCCAUAUGGAGAGCCUGCAUAUGACCAUCCAAGCUGAACUCUGCCUAUAAAUCAUCCUGUCCUAGAAACGUGAGUUCAAGUGCUUCUGAAUCAUUCCAGAACUCUUCAGUGCCCCAGCUAUUGGGUCUUCCUGGAUAAGAUUCGAGUACUUGAAAAACAGAAACAAGUUGCCCCAACUUUGCCCUGACAAAAUUGCUGACCCCAAGAAUAUGUGCUUGCUGUUAUUUUACAUCUCCAAAUUUUGGUUAGAGAAUAUAUCAAAUAUACUGAACAACACUACUUAUCUUAAUAUUUGUGAGACGUAAAUUUAUUUAUUAAAAAAUUACUGGGAUCAUCUUGCCAAUGCUAUAAACAAAUAUUUAGAAAAUAUAAGUUUAUAUUUUAUAGCUUAGUCUUGGGCUAAAAUAGAAAGCCAAAGGAUUGAGUACAGUUGUUAAGGAAUAGUAAGAACUUAAUUUUGAACAUUAGAAAGAUCAGGCCACUGAAUUAUAUAGCAUCCAAUCCACUGAUCUACGUCCCACUGCUCUGAAGAAAAGAGGUCUGUAGAGAUAUAGUAAUCCUUUCUGGCAAUCAGAAGAUUUGGUGAAGAUACGCCCAUAAGACGUGGCAACAGGCUGGCUGACGGUUUGGGGAAGUCAAGGGGGCAGCAUCACCAGGCAGCUGUCCAGUGCCUGAAAGGCCCAAGUGGUCCUGCCUUUGGUCUCUUACCAUAUGCAGUAUGAUUUUGCAGACUCCUGAAUUUUGUCCUACCAGUGGUUACUGCAGGUAACUUUGGUAGAAAUAGGUUUGUGGAGGUGUGUAAGCUCCCAGAGAAACAGGAGGAUAGGCCUUGGCUCACAGCCACAUGAGCUGCUGUGAGUAAGGUUGGUACAGAGCUGUCAGAAAGGGAGAGUAGAGGGUUUUCAAGGGUUCCACAAAGACAGCAAACCAUUCCCCUCCUUUCCAUGGAAAGUAUGAAAAAAAAAAAGCAAAUGAAUAAAAUAUUAGAAAUGAUUACUGAGCAAGGAACUCGCUAUGUCUAAGACAAAAAGGUUAAGACAUUAGAUUGCUAAUUGAUCACUCUUCAAAGGCAAUGACAUGAGCAUCAAGAAGAUAAUGUGAGGGCAACCUAGCUGUAAUGAAAUAUCAAACUCUGAUAUACUCGACAGUGAGUGAGUGAUUUCAUACUAUUUUUUACUACUUUAAUGAAGCCUCAACAAAGUUUUUUCACUUAAAGGAAACUGCAAACUUCAGCAAGCAAUUCCCCAUAUGAAAGGCUAAGUAAAACACAAUUUAUUUUUCUUAUUCCUGCAAACUAAAAUAUACUUCUUGUAAUGUCAAUUUUCAGAGUUGAAUAGUAUUGUAUUUUUCUUCUCUAUUGUGCAGUAGCCCAGGACUGAAUAUUACUUCUCAGUGGCUACACAUGGAUGGAAAAUCAACACAACCAAACAGUAGACAGCAGCCCAGGGCUUCUAUCACUUUUCUUUCCGAAUUGUAUCUGCUGCUUCAGAAACAUUCCUCAGAAAAUAUCUUUCAAUCUUCAGCCUUCUUUCUACCCAGUAUCUUAAAUGCUUGUUUGUAAUACUAUUAGCAGGUAUUUAUAAAGCCUUUAUUAUAUGCCAGGAGAAUACUAACAGAAUUGCAAGUAAUAUUUUACUUGUAUUGACUAGUAAUUCUCUUAAAUGAGUAUCAUCAUUGUCUUUAACAGAUGAGGCGAGUGAGCACAGAAGGGUCAAAAAAGAUGCCCAAAUAUUGGAAGCAGAAAAUCCAUCUCCACUGCAUACCCUCUUAACUACUACCCUAUGUAGAUUUCAGUUACCGUGCUUAUGUAUGCAUGUUCCUACAUUAUGUGAUUCACACAACAUGCAUCAUAUGUACAUGUACAACUUAUAUGCCCCUGAAAGUUUUUAUUUAUUCAAAACACUCAGCGAGAAUAAAGAAAAAAAAAUACUCAGUGUUACAUACCUAAUCAAAAUUAUUAGCAUCAAAAUUAUUAGAAUUAGAAUCAUUUCAAUGAUGAGCCCCAGCUGUCAGCCUACACCACAGUCACAGCAACCCCAGAUCCAAGCUGCAUCUGUGAGCUACACCACAGCUCACGGCAACACGGGAUCCUCAGCCCACUGAGUGAGGCCAGGGACCAAGCCCCCAUCCUCAAGGAUCCCAGUGGGGUUCUUGACCUGCUAAGCCACACCAGGAUCCUCAAUUGUGUCUGCUCCUAAUGGGGACCCCUUGAGGAAAACCUUCCCAGGGCUGACCUCUCCUCCUGCAAAGGAAUAAAGGUGGUAAAUGAUCCCUGGCUUCACCUUUCACUGUAAAACUCAGUUUUUAGUGUCUGUCAGUUUCUCAGGGUCCAAGUCUACAACUGAAUUAUUCUUCAGAAAGCUAAGCAAUAAAAGCUUGUACCUUUUUCAAAAAUUAUUUUUAAAACUAUAAUUGUAGUCCUGGUG
rnacentral:lncRNA from 1 species